rnacentral:precursor_RNA from 9 species
UUGUAAUCAGAGAUUUUUGGAUUCUGAAGGCAUCUUACGUGACAGCAUUAGAUUUCAAUGACAAAAUUCUAAUACUGUCAGGUAAAGAUGUCAGCAGAGUUCUGUUACGACAUGGCAGCCAU